CAGCCGCCGCGGGAAUACGAAGGGGGCUAGCGUUGCUCGGAAUGACUGGGCGUAAAGGGCGCGUAGGCGGAUGGCACAGUCAGAUGUGAAAUUCCCGGGCUUAACCUGGGGGCUGCAUUUGAUACGUGUUGUCUAGAGUGAGGAAGAGGGUUGUGGAAUUCCCAGUGUAGAGGUGAAAUUCGUAGAUAUUGGGAAGAACACCGGUGGCGAAGGCGGCAACCUGGUCCUUGACUGACGCUGAGGCGCGAAAGCGUGGGGAGCAAAUAGGAUUAGAUACCCCCGUAGUCCCUGUCUCUUAUAA
rnacentral:rRNA from 1 species